UGGGAUGUGGUUCAGUGGUAGAGCACUUGCCUAGCAUGUGUGAGGCCCUGAGUUUGAUUCUCAGUACCACAU
rnacentral:tRNA from 1 species